rnacentral:lncRNA from 1 species
UUAAGCGGCGCUUUACAUCCACUGAGAUGUUCACGGUCAAUAAAUAUUUCCCAAACCCUACACACAGCCAUUGUGGAUCGUGAACUAAUAAUUACAGAGUCAUAUAAUGAUAUUCUUCUAGCUGAGAUCGACAUUACGUACCUUUGAAUAAUGUUUACCAUUUGUUGAUAAUUUUCUUGUGGUUUUCUCAUUGAGUCAAAGAUUAUCAACCGGUUCUUGGGAAUUUCAAUGACCAUGAGUAUCCAGUGAAAGCUCUUUACACACAUAUAUAUAGUCAGGCCUAUAUAUAACUAUAUAAAACUUGUCUCGAGUAAUAAUAAGUAAACACUUAAUAACUAUAUAACUCACUCGAAGUUGAAGGAGAAGAGUAUUUUUUUGUUUUUCUUUUUGGUUCACAAAGAACCUCAUAAGAUUGGUGCAGACUUCUGUCUCAUGAGAUGCUGUCCACACUGCCUGCGGAGCCUUGAAAACAAUAUAAGGGUCAACGAAUCCAAUACUAUUGUCAUUUCUGAUUCUGAGCUCUCUCAUUUGGUGCCUGCAUAUAUACAUACAAAUCCUAAGUGUGUAAGGAUUAUAUACAUGUAAUUAAAGAAGUUAGAAGUUUAAUAAAAAGAAAGAAAUAACAAAAGCAGCUGACAAGAGAUUUGUCAAGAGCGUAGAGGUGACAUAAUUGGUGCAAUUCUUCGAACUGCACGUAUAUGAGGUCAUCUCCACGGAAGUAGUGAUGUUGUCUAAUAUGAACAAAAAUCCAAUUAUCUCCCCUUUUAGACGCCUCAAUGCACCACUUGUUUAUUGCAAAUAUUUGUGUGCCGAGCUCAUGUAAACGCUGAGGGUUGAAUAGACUCCUGCUCGGUUCAUAUCUUGCCCUCCAUUGAUCAACUACCUUAGCUUUUUCAAAUAUUUGACAUCCAAUAAUGGCGGCAAUGUCUUCAAUAUUUAAACCGCUCUGUCCA